rnacentral:misc_RNA from 1 species
GAUGAAGAACGUAGUGAAAUGCGAUACUUGGUGUGAAUUGCAGAAUCCCGUGAACCAUCGAGUCUUUGAACGCAAGUUGCGCCCGAAGCCAUUAGGCCGAGGGCACGCCUGCCUGGGCGUCACACGUCGUUGCCCCCCCAUCUACUCCUUCGGGAUUGCGGGGGGCGGAUGAUGGCCUCCCGUGCGCCUCGCCGCGCGGUUGGCAUAAAUGCCAAGUCCUCGGCGACGCACGCCACGACAAUCGGUGGUUGCGAAACCUCGGUUGCCCGUCGUGUGCGGUCGUCGCGCAUCGAGGGCUCGAGAAAAUUGCCGGGUUCCGGCUCGGCUUUCAACGCGACCCCAGGUCAGGCGGGGUUACCCGCUGAAUUUAAGCAUAUCAAUAAGCGGAGGA